CCCUUAGAUGUCCUGGGCCGCACGCGCGCUACACUGAUGCAUUCAACGAGCCAACCCUGUGCCGAGAGGUACGGGUAAUCUGCGAAAGUGCAUCGUGAUGGGGCUAGAUUAUUGCAAUUAUUGAUCUUCAACGAGGAAUGCCUAGUAAGCGCGAGUCAUCAACUCGCGUUGAUUACGUCCCUGCCGUUUGUACACACCGCCCGUCGCUCCUACCGAUUGGGUGUGCUGGUGAAAUGUUCGGAUCGGCCGUUUGUCGCGGUUUCCGCGUCAUGUGGCUGAGAAGUUCAUUAAACCCUCCCACCUAGAGGAAGGAGAAGUCGUAACA
rnacentral:rRNA from 1 species